CAGUACGGGAGGCGACAGGUGGGGAAUAUUGCACAAUGGGCGCAAGCCUGAUGCAGCAACGCCGCGUGGGUGAUGAAGGCCUUCGGGUCGUAAAGCCCUGGUCGGGAGGGAAGAAAUGAUUGAGGGUUAAUACCUCUUGGAUCUUGACGGUACCUCCGAAGGAAGCACCGGCUAACUCCGUGCCAGCAGCCGCGGUA
rnacentral:rRNA from 1 species